rnacentral:rRNA from 1 species
CAGUAGCCGCGGUAACACGUAGGUGGCGAGCGUUGUCCGGAAUCAUUGGGCGUAAAGGGAGCGCAGGCGGGCAUGUAAGUCUUUCUUAAAAGUGCGGGGCUCAACCCCGUGAUGGGAAAGAAACUAUGUGUCUUGAGUACAGGAGAGGAAAGCGGAAUUCCCAGUGUAGCGGUGAAAUGCGUAGAUAUUGGGAGGAACACCAGUGGCGAAGGCGGCUUUCUGGACUGCAACUGACGCUGAGGCGCGAAAGCGUGGGGAGCAAACAGGAUUAGAUACCCCUGUAGUCCCUGUCUCUUAUACA